rnacentral:rRNA from 1 species
UGUAGCGGUGAAAUGCGUAGAGAUGUGGAGGAACACCAGUGGCGAAGGCGACUCUCUGGUCUGUAACUGACGCUGAGGAGCGAAAGCGUGGGGAGCGAACAGGAUUAGAUACCCUGGUAGUCCACGCCGUAAACGAUGAGUGCUAAGUGUUAGGGGGUUUCCGCCCCUUAGUGCUGCAGCUAACGCAUUAAGCACUCCGCCUGGGGAGUACGGUCGCAAGACUGAAACUCAAAGGAAUUGACGGGGGCCCGCACAAGCGGUGGAGCAUGUGGUUUAAUUCGAAGCAACGCGAAGAACCUUACCAGGUCUUGACAUCCUCUGACAAUCCUAGAGAUAGGACGUCCCCUUCGGGGGCAGAGUGACAGGUGGUGCAUGGUUGUCGUCAGCUCGUGUCGUGAGAUGUUGGGUUAAGUCCCGCAACGAGCGCAACCCUUGAUCUUAGUUGCCAGCAUUCAGUUGGGCACUCUAAGGUGACUGCCGGUGACAAACCGGAGGAAGGUGGGGAUGACGUCAAAUCAUCAUGCCCCUUAUGACCUGGGCUACACACGUGCUACAAUGGACAGAACAAAGGGCAGCGAAACCGCGAGGUUAAGCCAAUCCCACAAAUCUGUUCUCAGUUCGGAUCGCAGUCUGCAACUCGACUGCGUGAAGCUGGAAUCGCUAGUAAUCGCGGAUC